CGUGCAGGAGGCGGCGGCUACGACGGAGACGGCUGCGCUUGCUCUCUCGGCGUUAUGGCGGCUGCCGGGAGCCGAUAAGUGGCGGGAGCGGGAGCGCGCGCGUGGCUGCGGCGACGACGACGGCUCCUUCCUUCUCGCUCUAGCUGCCCUCGCCGUUGGUGCUUCCAUCAUGAAUGGAUUAUGGGAUCCGCUCCACAGGGGGUCGCGCGUGGGAGCCGCGGGCCGGGGCUUCCCCCUCCCCCUCACGGACUCCUGCUUCCCCCCAGACGCCCGGAGCCCGAGGACUCACCCGGCGGCGGAGACCUGAGUGGGCUCCCUCUGCCCCCGCGAAGCCUGCACGGCCGCCGGUGAAUCAAAAAGGGUCCCAGGAAACCUGUGAAUGUUGAAGAAAAUUCGUCUGUGAAUUUUUGGUAUUCAAGGAGGACCAAUGAGAAACAUCACAGCUCAACCAACGAAACACGUCGCAGCUCAACCAUCGAGAAACGCUGCAGCUCAGCCACCGAGAAACACCGCAGCUCAGCCACCGAGAAACGCCGCAGCUCAGCCAUCGAGAAACGCUGCAGCUCAGCCAACCAGAAACGCGGCAGCUCAGCCAUCGAGAAACGCCGCAGCUCAGCCAACCAGAAACGUGGCAGCUCAGCCAUCGAGAAACGCUGCAGCUCAGCCAUCGAGAAACGCCGCAGCUCAGCCAGUGAGAAACGCCGCAGCUCAGCCAGUGAGAAACGCCGCAGCUCAGCCAUCGAGAAACGCCGCAGCUCAGCCAUCGAGAAACGCCGCAGCUCAGCCAGUGAGAAGCCUUUGCUGCCUUGACCUUUACUUUCUCCCAAUGGAUUUUCCUUUAGAACAGCCCCUCCUUACUCCUGCUCUUCUCUAUAAAAGCAGCUCCCCUCCUUUCUUUUCUGGAUUUGCCUGUGGUUUGCCAUAGCAUGUAUAUCCUGAAU